rnacentral:rRNA from 1 species
UACGUAGGGCGCAGGCGUUAUCCGGAAUUAUUGGGCGUAAAGAGCUCGUAGGCGGCUUGUCGCGUCCGGCGUGAAAGUCCAUCGCUCAACGGUGGAUUUGCGCCGGGUACGGCAGGCUGGAGUGCGGCAAGGGAGACUGGAAUUCCCGGUGUAACGGUGGAAUGUGUAGAUAUCGGGAAGAACACCAAUGGCGAAGGCAGGUCUCUGGGCCGUUACUGACGCUGAGGAGCGAAAGCGUGGGGAGCGAACAGG